rnacentral:rRNA from 1 species
UGGGGAAUAUUGGACAAUGGGCGCAAGCCUGAUCCAGCCAUGCCGCGUGAGUGAUGAAGGCCCUAGGGUUGUAAAGCUCUUUCACCGGUGAAGAUAAUGACGGUAACCGGAGAAGAAGCCCCGGCUAACUUCGUGCCAGCAGCCGCGGUAAUACGAAGGGGGCUAGCGUUGUUCGGAUUUACUGGGCGUAAAGCGCACGUAGGCGGACUUUUAAGUCAGGGGUGAAAUCCCGGGGCUCAACCCCGGAACUGCCUUUGAUACUGGAAGUCUUGAGUAUGGUAGAGGUGAGUGGAAUUCCGAGUGUAGAGGUGAAAUUCGUAGAUAUUCGAGGGAACACCAGUGGCGAAGGCGGCUCACUGGACCAUUACGGACGCUGGGGGGCGAAGGCUUGGGGAGCAAACAG